AGGGCCGUAGCUCAGCGGUAGAGCGGAAGUCUCCAAAGCUUCGCGUCGCGGGUUCAACUCCUGCCGGUCCUG
rnacentral:tRNA from 1 species